AAUGUGACCUGGAAAUGGAUUCAUCCAUUUUAUAUUCACAAUUCAUAUACUGAUUAGAUAGACUUGAGUUUACAGGUUGCAUCAGUCACUUUAGUAGAUAUUAUUCUGAAUGCUAAAGCUGUAAUUAUGUGCGUCUCAUUGCAUUUCUGUUCUUUUAUCUCAGCUUGUAUCAAGUCGGAUCUGCGCAGACAGUUGGCAAACCAGCAAGCACUGGCAGCUGCAGCACUGGGCAGGUCAGAUGUUCAAGGAACACAGUGGGACGUCUCUCCUCCCCUCAACACACAUGUGAUCAAUCAAUCACCACCUGAUUUUAAUGCUCGCUGUGGUUCAGGUCCAUAUGGAAGCAUCAGUGGCACAAGCUUUUGA
rnacentral:lncRNA from 1 species